CGCGUAGGUGGUAGUGUAAGUCUGGGGUGGAAUCCCAGGGCUUAACCCUGGAACUGCCUUGGAAACUGUAUUACUUGAGUCAGUGAGGGGAGGGUAGAAUUCCUGGUGUAGCGGUGAAAUGCGUAGAUAUCAGGAGGAAGGCCUGUGGCGAAGGCGGCCCUCUGGCGCUGGACUGACACUGAGGCGCGAAAGCGUGGGGAGCAAACAGGAUUAGAUACCCUGGUAGUCCACGCCCUAAACGGUGGGCACUAGGUGUAGGGCUCGUAAGGGUUCUGUGCCGAAGGGAAACCAUUAAGUGCCCCGCCUGGGAGUACGGCCGCAAGGUUGAA
rnacentral:rRNA from 1 species